CUGCUUUGCUUUUAAACAGCAGCCCCCAGGGCAGGGCGCUUCUGGCAGGCAGCUCCGUGGGCUGGGGCUGAGCACGGCAGCACCCGCCUGCCUCCAGCAUCUCGUUAGUGGUGCUGCUGAUAAAGGAGCUCCAGGCAGUCCCUGCUGAGCCCUGUCUCUGUCUCGUUGCCUUUCUGCUCAGGCCAUCAGGCGGGGAGAGCUGCCUUCACGCGGGGGACCUGGGGCCCCCAUCCCUGGUUGGGGUCAGCCCCUCACAGGGAAAGGGCAGCCCUGUUAUCGGGGCCCCGUGGAUGGAUUUUCCUUUUCACCCUGAAGUUAUGAAGCUGUGGAGACCCCGUGGUCCCUGGCCACGCGCUGCCCUGCCGAGGUGAUGGCUAAUUGAGACGUGACAGCUGGCAAAACAAACCCAGCCAUGCCUCGAUGGAGCUGGGUAACGGCUGGAGUCCUACAGCUCUGGGAGGCUCCGGAGAGCCGUGUUCAAUCCAGGCCCAAAUUGUUUCAAGAUGGAGCUUGAUAAGCCAGUGGAGAGGCCUGCAGAGCGGCGUGGGACACGGGCUCCACAUCACCCGCUCCAGGAUGCCUGGAUCUGGUGGACAGUUUGGAAGCAGCGAGGCUUGCUGUGCCAGAAGCUCUCAUGCUCUCGCUCACUCCCUCGGUGGAUGCUCUCACUCUUCGUUUGUGUUGCAAUAGUGUCCAGAUUGGAACCAGGUGAAAAAACAUGCUCACAAAGCUCUCGGUGAAAAAAAAGGCUUGAUUUAAAAAGUGUUUCAUUUUGAGAAGGGGAAGAAAGCCUAAACAAUCAGCGUUGUUAAAAUUUUCCAUCACUAUCUUUUUUUAUGCAAUGCCAUUUCUUUCAGUGCGUACCAAACCCCUAGCUUUCAGCAGCAAUAUGGGGCUCCUGGGAAACAGUUUUCAUUAGGAGAA
rnacentral:lncRNA from 1 species